UUUCUCAGACAGCUCUGCGCCUCCCCACAGCCUGUGAACAGAUGGCCCCUGCAAGCAGCCAGUCCCAGUCCUAAGCAAUUGCUAUGCUCCUGCAGCCUGUCCCCUGAGGGACAAAAUUGGAGACAAUGUCUCAGCCUCACUGAGGUGUUUCCUUCUAGUUGCCGGAAGAUACAAAGAUGCAGAUAGCUCCGGACCUGUUUGUCCUGUUUUCCUAUGUUUUGCUUUUUAUUUUCUUAGUUUUAUGUUUUUUGAGAAAGGGUCUCACUCCAUAUCCCCUGGCUGGCCUUGCAUUCACUGUGUGUGACACCCCUCCCCCUCCCACACACCCGCAAGUAUCAUGGCCAGCAGCAAAACAAUCGGAGGAAAGGCGAGAAUGAAUCUCAGUUCAGCUCAGACUUCUGGAGUCUGACACCAGGUGCUUUAAUUUAGCUGUAUUUAAGCCCAGCACAGUUUUGGAAAAAAGUUUUCUGAGGGCAAUUAACUCAGUUCCCGUGUGUACAACAAAGCUUAAGACAUGUUUACGUUGAAACUCUUUACAAAAUACAGAUGGCUUCUUCCUUUAAAGAUGGGGACUGUUGACUGAGAAACAGUGCCCAAGGUAAGGGUCUAGGGAGG
rnacentral:lncRNA from 1 species